rnacentral:rRNA from 1 species
GUGAGGAAUAUUGGUCAAUGGAGGCAACUCUGAACCAGCCAUGCCGCGUGCAGGAAGACGGUCCUAUGGAUUGUAAACUGCUUUUAUUUAGGAAUAAACCCCCGGUCGUGCACCGGGGCUGAAUGUACUAAAAGAAUAAGCACCGGCUAACUCCGUGCCAGCAGCCGCGGUAAUACGGAGGGUGCAAGCGUUAUCCGGAAUCAUUGGGUUUAAAGGGUCCGCAGGCGGGUAAAUAAGUCAGAGGUGAAAUCCGGCAGCUCAACUGUCGCACUGCCUUUGAUACUGUUUAUCUUGAAUUUUAGUGGAGUGGGCGGAAUAUGUCAUGUAGCGGUGAAAUGCUUAGAUAUGACGUGGAACACCGAUAGCGAAGGCAGCUCACUAACUAUGAAUUGACGCUCAUGGACGAAAGCGUGGGUAGCAAACAGGAUUAGAAACCCUAGUAGUCC